rnacentral:rRNA from 1 species
GAUGAACGCCGGCGGCGUGCCUAAUACAUGCAAGUCGAGCGAACAGAUAAGGAGCUUGCUCCUUUGACGUUAGCGGCGGACGGGUGAGUAACACGUGGGUAACCUACCUAUAAGACUGGGAUAACUUCGGGAAACCGGAGCUAAUACCGGAUAACAUUUGGAACCGCAUGGUUCUAAAGUGAAAGAUGGCUUUGCUAUCACUUAUAGAUGGACCCGCGCCGUAUAGCUAGUUGGUAAGGUAACGGCUUACCAAGGCGACGAUACGUAGCCGACCUGAGAGGGUGAUCGGCCACACUGGAACUGAGACACGGUCCAGACUCCUACGGGAGGCAGCAGUAGGGAAUCUUCCGCAAUGGGCGAAAGCCUGACGGAGCAACGCCGCGUGAGUGAUGAAGGGUUUCGGCUCGUAAAACUCUGUUAUUAGGGAAGAACAAAUGUGUAAGUAACUGUGCACAUCUUGACGGUACCUAAUCAGAAAGCCACGGCUAACUACGUGCCAGCCGCCGCCGUAA